rnacentral:rRNA from 1 species
UACAGAGGGUGCGAGCGUUAAUCGGAAUUACUGGGCGUAAAGCGCACGUAGUCGGCUUUGCAAGUCGGGUGUGAAAUCCCCGGGCUCAACCUGGGAACUGCAUCCGAGACUGCAUUGCUAGAGUAUGGGAGAGGGAAGCGGAAUUUCUGGUGUAGCAGUGAAAUGCGUAGAUAUCAGAAGGAACACCAAUGGCGAAGGCAGCACUCUGGGACGGUACUGACGCUGAGACGCGAAAGCGUGGGGAGCAAACAGG